GGGACACGUGGUAUCCUGUCUGAAUAUGGGGGGACCAUCCUCCAAGGCUAAAUACUCCUGACUGACCGAUAGUGAACCAGUACCGUGAGGGAAAGGCGAAAAGAACCCCGGCGAGGGGAGUGAAAAAGAACCUGAAACCGUGUACGUACAAGCAGUGGGAGCACCUUCGGGUGUGACUGCGUACCUUUUGUAUAAUGGGUCAGCGACUUAUAUUCUGUAGCAAGGUUAACCGUAUAGGGGAGCCGCAGGGAAACCGAGUCUUAACUGGGCGUUAAGUUGCAGGGUAUAGACCCGAAACCCGGUGAUCUAGCCAUGGGCAGGUUGAAGGUUGGGUAACACUAACUGGAGGACCGAACCGACUAAUGUUGAAAAAUUAGCGGAUGACUUGUGGCUGGGGGUGAAAGGCCAAUCAAACCGGGAGAUAGCUGGUUCUCCCCGAAAGCUAUUUAGGUAGCGCCUCGUGAAUUCAUCUUCGGGGGUAGAGCACUGUUUCGGCUAGGGGGUCAUCCCGACUUACCAACCCGAUGCAAACUACGAAUACCGAAGAAUGUUAUCACGGGAGACACACGGCGGGUGCUAACGUCCGUCGUGAAGAGGGAAACAACCCAGACCGCCAGCUAAGGUCCCAAAGUCAUGGUUAAGUGGGAAACGAUGUGGGAAGGCACAGACAGCCAGGAUGUUGGCUUAGAAGCAGCCAUCAUUUAAAGAAAGC
rnacentral:rRNA from 1 species